GACCACGUCGUUGGAUAGUUGUGAUAAAAUUGUGCUAUAAAAAUUACAGAAAAAAAAAAACAUCUGAGUGGACGCCCUACUGGAACGAUCUAAGAAAGGGGAGCCGUGGCCGAAAUGACGCUCCAAAUAAAAUAAAUACACGACCAGAAAAACUUGAACCAUCCCUCCUCCCGCUUUGGUUUUAAAACAGACGAAAACAGUCAAGAUUGUAGUGUAGUAGCAGGUCUAAUUCUCUGGUUGCUAUCUGUCUCCAGCAAUAAGAUUGGAGAAGAAAAUAAUAUGCAAUAGAUGGUAUUUCGCUGUGCUGUCUCAAGAUGGACUUAAGAAGCAAAAAGGAAAGAGUCCAAGGGGCGGCCCUCCCUCCCGCGGCCCAUCGGAACACAGAAUAAUAAUCGCCAAAAGAAACGAUGGGGAGGAAAAAUAUAAAUAGCCGUAUCUACCCCCUCGAGAUAUUAAAAUUUGUACAAGAAAUACUCGAGCCCGCUUUCAAUUUUACUUAAAUAAAAUUAUUUUCCGCCGCUCGGACGCUCCCAAGGCGUUCUUGUUGUAUUCUCCAAAAUUGUUUCUAAAGUAUUGAGACAAAUAACAACGAUAAUCACAUGAGCAUUUUUCGUAUAUAAAAAGUUUUUUUUUUAAAUACAUUUUGUCCAUUUG